GAUGAACGCUGGCGGCGUGCCUAAUACAUGCAAGUCGAGCGAACAGACGAGGAGCUUGCUCCUCUGACGUUAGCGGCGGACGGGGGAGUAACACGUGGAUAACCUACCUAUAAGACUGGGAUAAAUUCGGGAAACCGGAGCUAAUACCGGAUAAUAUAUUGAACCGCAUGGUUCAAUAGUGAAAGACGGGUUUGCUGUCAAUUAUAGAUGGAUCCGCGCCGCAUUAGCUAGUUGGUAAGGUAACGGCUUACCAAGGCGACGAUGCGUAGCCGACCUGAGAGGGUGAUCGGCCACACUGGAACUGAGACACGGUCCAGACUCCUACGGGAGGCAGCAGUAGGGAAUCUUCCGCAAUGGGCGAAAGCCUGACGGAGCAACGCCGCGUGAGUGAUGAAGGUCUUCGGAUCGUAAAACUCUGUUAUUAGGGAAGAACAAAUGUGUAAGUAACUAUGCACGUCUUGACGGUACCUAAUCAGAAAGCCACGGCUAACUACGUG
rnacentral:rRNA from 1 species